rnacentral:lncRNA from 1 species
AUGCAGCCACAGCACAUCCAUCCUGGCGAGCAGCUCUACCCAAGGUCAAACAUUCAUGCAAAACGGCAGCCAAGAUCUGCAUGUCUAAAUGCCAGCAGCAAGAAGGCCUGCAAGACGAUUCUGAAAACCAAACCGGGAAAAGGGAAAGAAGGAGGAGGCAAGACAGGGGGAAGUGCGGAGGGGAAGGAGGCUCAAAGGAAAAGCAGGAGGGGUGGCUACAGCGAUUCUUACCGGGGGGCACGCAGUGGGAAAACCUGGAGGGCCCCCCACCCCCUAAACCAAGGUUACAAGGUGGGCUCUCCACCUCCUCAGGAGCCGGAGCCUCUGAAUGGGAGCUGCUCAAAUAUAAUAACUCGACUUUUUAAAUAAUUAAACGAGGCAAACAAAUACAUGAAAAGGUGCUCAGUAUCACCACUGAUCAUGAGAGAGAAGAAACUAAAACCAUAAUGAGAUUCUACUACACACCCAGUGGCUAAAAUUCAAGACUGACGAUUCUAAGUGUUGGCAAGGAUGUGGAGCGACCAGAAGUCUCACCCAUCCCUGGUGGAUAUGUGAAACGACACAGCUCCGCUGGAAAGGUAUUUGGCAGCUCCUUGAGAAGCUAGACAUACACGUACUAUAUGCCCCAGAAGCCUCAGGCCUACAAAUUUGCCCAAGAGAAAUGCAAACAUGUCUUCACACAAGGAUCUGGGUAAGAAUGCUCCUGGUGGCUUUAUUUAUAAUAUGCCCCGACUGGAGGCACGCAAAUGUUUAUUAUCUAGUGACUAGGUCAACACAGUGAGGUACAUCCUUUCACCAGAAGCCUACCCUCUGAUAUAAAAGGAAAGAACUACUGAUACAUGAGACGAGGAUGAAUCUCAAAAGCUUUAUUUUUUAAGAUAUUAUAUUUUUUUAAAUGAUGUCUACACUCAACAGAGGGCUCAAAACCAAGAUCGAGAGUCACAUACUCCACCAACUGAGCCAGCUGGGGCACCCCUCAAAAGCAUUAGACUAAAUGAAAGAAGGCAGAGAUAGUGUGACCCACAAAAGACCAGACCCAGAAAAGCAUCAUGUAUGAUUCAGUUUAUAUGAAAAUUCUAGGGACAACAUAAUUAUAGGGACAGGAAGCCUGUGGAGAAGAGGGGUGGGGUGGAGCAUCCUCAAAAGGAUACAAGGGAAUUCUUGGAGGUGAGGCCAAUGGUCUGCAUCUUGACAGUGGUGGUUCCAUAGGUAUAUAUGUUUCUAGUUUUAUUUUUGUAAAAAGUUUUGGGUUUUUUUUUAGAGAAGUUUUAGGUUUGCAGCAACAUUGAGAGAAAGGCACAGGGGUUUCCCAUAAACCCUUGAGCCCUGACACACACACAACCUUUCCCACCAUCAACGUCUCCCACCAGAGAGGUAGGUGCCUCUGUCACCAAUGAUGAGCCUACAUUGAAAUAUAAUAUCACUGUAAGUCCUUAGCAGCAUACAGUAGGGUCCCCUCUUGGUGUCGUACCUUGUGUGGGUUUGGACAAAGGAAUAGUGAUAAGUAUCCAUUAUAGUGUCAUACAGAGUAGUUUCACCGCCCCCAAAAACCCUUUGCUUUGCCAAUUCAUCCCUCCUUCCCCUCCCCCCUUGGUUACCCCGAUCCUUUCACCAUCUCCAUCGUUUUGCUUGUCCCAGAAUGUCAGGGAGUUGGAAUCAUACGGCACGGAUCCUUUCCAGAUCAUCUUCUUUCACUUAGUGAUAGGCCUUUAAGCUUCCUCCGUGUCUUUUCGCGGCUUAUUAACUCUUUUCUUUUUUUAGUGCUGAAUAGUAUGCCAUUGUCCGGAUGGGCCCCACUUUGUUCACCCAUUUACCCUCUGAACGACAUCAUGAUUGCCUCCAAGUUUGGGCAGUUAUGAAUAACGCCGCUCUAAACGUCCAUGCGCAGGUUUUUGUGUAGACGUAACUUUCUAACUCCUUUGGGUAAAUACCAAAGAGCAAGAAUAUAUUUAGUUCAGUUUAGUUUUUUUUAAUUUUUUAAAUUUUUAAAUUUUAUUUUAUUAUUUUUUUAUAUAUUUAGUUUUGUGAGAAACUGCCCGGCUGUCUUUCAAAGUGGCUGUACCACUUGGCCCCCAGCAGCCAGAGCUGCCACAAUUUGAGCGAUGAAAUAAAUUCUGUAUUGGAUUAUAGCCCGAAGUGUAAAAUAAAUGCCUAGGAGUCUAUACUGACAUAAAUAAAUGACUGAAUAAAUAAUAAAAGUUAGAGAACAGACAAGUCCCCCUUGCCGGAGAGUUCCUAAUGUAGUUUAGGUAGAUGCUCCCCGCUCCGUCGCUUAAGUAUGGGCUGUACCUAGCGUCUUCCUCUUAAAUAGCACAGCAUAGAAAGGGGUGAAACAGUAAAUUUACUUUGGAGAAAGCAGAGAAACACCAGGUCAGCCAGCUGGACAAGCUCCUCCUCAACAGCCAGGGGGGAUGGCUCCUUGAUAGGAAGCCAUUACCCCCGUGCUCUUCCCUCCCCGGAACGCACAGACUUGGUCUAAUCUUGAGGAAAAUAUCAGGCAAAUCCAAACUGAGGGACGUCGUACAACACACCUGACCCAUUAUCCACAAAACCAUCAAGGUCAUCGACAACAAGGGAAGAUGAGAAACAGGCCCAGUCUCGAGGAGCCUGGGGCGACAUGGCACCUAAGUGUGACGUGGUGUCCUGCACAGGAUCCUGGAGCAGAGAAAGGGCAUUAGGGGAUAAAAACCCCACAGAAAUCUGAACAAAUCAUGGAAUUUAUUUAUUUAUUUAUUUAUUUAUUUAUUUAUUUAAGAUUUUACUAAGUAGGGGCACCUGGGUGGCUCAGAGGUUGAGCAUCUGCCUUCGGCCCAGGGCGUGAUCCUAGGGUCCCGGGAUCGAGUCCCACGUCGGGCUCCCUGCAUGGAGCCUGCUUCUCCCUCUGCCUGUGUCUCUGCCUCUCUCUCUCUCUGUGUCUCUCAUGAAUAAAUAAAUAAAAUCUUUUAAAAAUAAUAAUCUUGUGUCAACACUGGCUCACUGAUUUUAACAACUAAACAACUAUACGGUACUAAUGUUAGACGCUAAUAAUAGGGAAAACCAGGCGUUGGGUGCAUGGGGACUCUG